AAAUCUGCUAGAGAAGUCCUGGCAUCCAUCAGCAGUCCUUUUCUUCCAUCUGGCAAUAUCAUCAGCUACAUUAACCUCUAUAAGAUUGCUGAUACAACAUAUCACCACCUGCAAGAAGGAGGUUGACUUUGAAGUGUACAAAGUGACAUACUGACUUGUAGUGACACAGAGACUCUUACUGACCUGUAGCUCAAAGAGUCUGCAUGGAAGCUGGUCAGACAGCUUGUCUGAAGGCAUUCCCUGCUACUCACUUUGUAGCCCAGCUGGAAGCCCACUGCUAAGCUGUUCUUGCACUUCCCACAGUGGUUAAUGCUUGGCCCAUAGAUGUGUUUUUUGUUGGCGUUUGUUGUUAAGCAGCCUUGUGUAAACUAACUUGGAAUCCAUUCAUGGGCCUCUGGGGAAACACAGUGUAAAAACAUACUGGUUUGAAAUGAGACUCCUCCUUAAUGUGCUUCUGCAGCUCCCGCUCUGAGGUUUACUUCUAAGGUCUUGUGUACCACUUGUUUGAGUACUUAAUUUUUAAUGCUGAGAAAACAGUCUUAGCUGAGGCUGCAGGGGGAAAAACUGAGCAGCAAUCAAGUUUAAUGGAAUAGUUCUUGAUAGAGUAAGCUUCUCAAAUAUGAAUUAGGAAUUCUGUUUUCUAUGAAUGUAUUUGUGAAAUGCCCUUGCCUCGCAGCUAAUGGAGACAAACAGAAAAAGAAAUGUAUAAGAUGGAUAUUUUCUCAAAGUGUUUUCACUACUUAAUGCUAUGAGAAUAUUGUUUGUUUUUUUCUCCUGCUUAGAAAACAAACUGGAGUGAGAAGGGUACACACUUCUAUUCUUCUGAUGUCAUUGUGAUGUAUCAUGGCAUGUAAAACUGAUCAGCUUGUUUCCAUGAUCUGGUUUAAUUUGUCCCUGAUGUGUUUUGAUGUGUUUUGGAAGAAUGGUUGAAGAGCAGAGUUCUAAAACUUGUUUGCCAACCAGUGUAUUAUCAGUUAAGGACUGGUAACAGUUCAGGAAAAAAAUUAGGCCCCAAAAAAACCCAGGAGGCUGAACCUCUAUCCAUAUCAGCAUAUCCGUUAACUUUGUUUGCUGGGAUUUUGCUUGGCAAGUGUGUUUGUUAAUUGACUGCAGUCACAAUCUGGCUGAGUGGUCUGGUUUUGUGUCUCGGCUGCAUAAAACAUCAGAACACCAAACUGGAUAACUGUGGUCAAACGCAUUUACUAAUUCUCUGAAGAUGUAUCUUUCUUCUUGACCUCUCUUUCUUGAAACUUGAUUUAUGAAAAAUUAGUAUAUAAGAAAAUAAGGCCUCUUGUUCUAUGUAAGUCUGAUAAAAGCUAUUUUAUGAGAGUAAUAAUUAAAAAUAAUAAUUUCUACACAUAUGAAAAACAACUUUCAUGUAGUCUAUCCAGUACUGGAUAUUAACAUAUGCUUUUGGAGGAGACAGAACAUUUAACUUUAUUAUGCAUGUGUUGUGUGUGAAGCUGUUUUAAAAGCAGUGUUUCUGGGCAGCGUAAGUAACUUAAGGCUUUGUGUCACUCAACAGUUGUUCCAUCAUCUUAAAUUUGUCAUGUAGUGAGAUUUUUGUAUAUUUUAGUUUUAUUGGUUUCCUUAAACAUCAGUGAUGCCAGAUCUGUUGCCUUAUAGGCUAAUAAGCUGUCCAUGUGUAGCCUUUCCUUGAAUAAAGGAGAUUGACUGAAUCUAAA